CCUGCAAGCGAAAACAGUCGUCUGUUCGCUUGAACUCUGCACCUUGAUUAUGGUUCACUCGCAGCCAUUAAUGAAUCAAAACUCUGGGUUUCACAAGUUUCACAAGACCUGUAUUUCACCAGUCAGCCACACGCAGGCUGGCACUGAAAGGCACAUGCUGACACCUGUCCGCCCAGGGGACACCUACGAGCCGCGGAUCUGGGCGCAGGGGGCGGCGGGUAGGCCGCGGGAUUCUCCAACACGCGCCUCUCUCGGCACCCCUUCCCGGUCGCGCGGACCCCCGCGGGCCCGAGCGACCCCGCACAUCCACGCGCCCGCGGGCGCCCGGCCCACACGCCCGGAAGGGCCCUCGAGGUGGUUCUCCCGGGGACCCCCCGUUCCAGGCAGGAAAGACGCCCUCCCUCCGCCGAAGGCUCCUUGGCGAUCCCUCUGGGCACCCUCCCACGUCUCCCGGCCCGGGACGCUGAGGAGUGGGCCGCUGCCUCGGUUCCCAGCCCAGCCUCCCGCGCGCCCGCCCCCAGGCGCCGAGCACCGUGCGGCCCUCCGCGCAGUCAGCACCCACCCGCGCGGCGGCGGCGGCUGGCGGGCGGCCGCCCUUUUAAAUCCCCGGGCUCAUUUGCAUGGCCCCGCCCCCCUCGGUGACACGGCUGGCGCGGGCGGGCCCGUCCCCCCUGCCCCUGGGUCGCUCUUUUUAAGCUCCCCUGAGCCGGGGCUGCGCUCCUCUAAUUGGGACUCCGAGCCCGGGCUAUUUCUGGCGCUGGCGCGGCUCCAAGAAGGCAUCCGCAUUUGCUACCAGCGGCGGCGGCGGCGGAGCCAGGCCGGUCCUCAGCGCCCAGCACCGUCGCUCCCGGCAGCCCGGAGCGCGCACCGCAGGCCGGCGGCCGAGCUCGCGCAUCCCAGCCGUCGCUCCUCCACCUGCUCCGGAGAGAAGGGAAGAUGA
rnacentral:lncRNA from 1 species